AGAAAGAUGACUGAGUGGCUUAAAGUGAAGGUUUGCUAAAUCUUUGUAUAUUAUAUAUACCGUGGGUUCGAAUCCCACUCUUUCUA
rnacentral:tRNA from 1 species